GUUAACGGAGCGAAAGCGACGUUUAACCGCAAAAGAAGCAGAGGGGGCUUAGUGGUGGGGUGACUGCGUACCUUUUGUAUAAUGGGUCAGCGACUUAUAUUCUGUAGCAAGGUUAACCGCAUAGGGGAGCCGGAGGGAAACCGAGUCUUAAUUGGGCGUUAAGUUGCAGGGUAUAGACCCGAAACCCGGUGAUCUAGCCAUGGGCAGGUUGAAGGUUGGGUAACACUAACUGGAGGACCGAACCGACUAAUGUUGAAAAAUUAGCGGAUGACCUGUGGCUGGGGGUGAAAGGCCAAUCAAACCGGGAGAUAGCUGGUUCUCCCCGAAAGCUAUUUAGGUAGCGCCUCGUGAAUUCAUCUCCGGGGGUAGAGCACUGUUUCGGCCAGGGGGCCAUCCCGGCUUACCAAUCCGAUGCAAACUGCGAAUACCGGAGAAUGUUAUCACGGGAGACACACGGCGGGUGCUAACGUCCGUCGUGAAGAGGGAAACAACCCAGACCGCCAGCUAAGGUCCCAAAGUCAUGGUUAAGUGGGAAACGAUGUGGGAAGGCCCAGACAGCCAGGAUGUUGGCUUAGAAGCAGCCAUCAUUUAAAGAAAGCGUAAUAGCUCACUGGUCGAGUCGGCCUGCGCGGAAGAUGUAACGGGGCUAAACCAU
rnacentral:rRNA from 1 species